rnacentral:rRNA from 1 species
UGGGGAAUUUUGGACAAUGGGCGAAAGCCUGAUCCAGCAAUGCCGCGUGUGUGAAGAAGGCCUUCGGGUUGUAAAGCACUUUUGUCCGGAAAGAAAUCCUUGGCUCUAAUACAGUCGGGGGAUGACGGUACCGGAAGAAUAAGCACCGGCUAACUACGUGCCAGCAGCCGCGGUAAUACGUAGGAUGCAAGCGUUAAUCGGAAUUACUGGGCGUAAAGCGUGCGCAGGCGGUUUGCUAAGACCGAUGUGAAAUCCCCGGGCUCAACCUGGGAACUGCAUUGGUGACUGGCAGGCUAGAGUAUGGCAGAGGGGGGUAGAAUUCCACGUGUAGCAGUGAAAUGCGUAGAGAUGUGGAGGAAUACCGAUGGCGAAGGCAGCCCCCUGGGCCAAUAUGACGCUCAUGCACGAAAGCGUGGGGAGCAAACAGGAUUAGAUACCCUGGUAGUCCACGCCCUAAANGAUGUCAACUAGUUGUUGGGGACUUCAUUUUCCUUAGUAACGUAGCUAACGCGUGAAGUUGACCGCCUGGGGAGUACGGUCGCAAGAUUAAAACUCAAAU